rnacentral:tRNA from 1 species
GGGCCCGUAGUCUAGUUGGUUAUGACGUCGCCUUGACGAGGCGGAGGUCCUGGGUUCGAAUCCCAGCGGGCCCA